rnacentral:rRNA from 1 species
GGAUGAACGCUAGCGGGAGGCCUAAUACAUGCAAGUCGAACGGUAACAGGGUAGCAACACCGCUGACGAGUGGCGCACGGGUGCGUAACACGUACACAAUCUACCUUAUACUGGAGCAUAACCUCGGGAAACUGAGGCUAAUUCUCCAUAACAUAGUUAAAAAGGCAUUCUUUUUGAUAUCAAAGCUCAGGCGGUUAAGGAUGGACAUGCGGUGCAUUAGCUUGUUGGUGAGGUAACGGCUCACCAAGGCUACGAUGCAGUAGGGGGUCUGAGAGGAUGACUCCCCCACACUGGUACUGAGACACGGACCAGACUCCUACGGGAGGCAGCAGUAGGGAAUAUUGGGCAAUGGACGAAAGUCUGACCCAGCCACGCCGCGUGAAGGAUGAAUGCCCUCUGGGUUGUAAACUUCUUUUGUAUGGGAAGAAAAUUCCGAACGUGUUCGGAGCUGACGGUACCAUAAGAAUAAGCAUCGGCUAACUCCGUG